CUGUGGUCCUAAGACACGUGAUGAGACAGAUAUCUCGGAGUAUUCACCACGCCGAGAGAACCGUUGAUUGUGGGUUGAAAUCAAACAUGCAGAGAAAACAGAACGUAAGAGUUUCUUAACGAAACAAAACUUUCAACAACGGAUCUCUUGGCUCUCGCAUUCUUAUUGUAAGAACGCAGCGAAAUUGUCUUCAUCCAGUAAUGUGAAUUGCAGAAUUCAGUGAAUCAUCGAAUCUUUGAACGCACCUUGCGCCUUUUGGUAUUCCGAAAGGCAUGCCUGUUUCAGUGUCAUGAAAUCUCAAUCUAAUAUGUUUUCUGAACAUGUUAGACUUGGACUUGGGCGUCUGCCAGUGAUGGCUCGCCUCAAAUGACUUAUUGUAUUUUUUCUACAUCAGUGUUAGACGUAAUAAGUUUCGUCUCUCCUUGUGGUGAUGACUGCUCAGAACCUGCCUCGCGCACUUUUGCUUUGACCUGAAAUCAGGUAGGGCUACCCGUGAACUUCAGCUAUCAAUACGCGGACGAAGGCUCAUUAUUGAUUGGUCAAAGACUUAUCAGAUCUACCCCUCUGUGAACCGAUGACUCCGGUCGUAAUCAACUCAUGUACAACGUAAGAUUCUUAACAAACAAAAUUUUAAAACCG
rnacentral:rRNA from 1 species